GCUCCUAUGCUAGCAUGGAUCUAUUGAAAAGCUGUUAUGGCUAUCUACAUGCCUGGAACAUCUAUGAUAUUCGGCUUAGGCACUUUUUUAUGUAUGCCCAGUCACAUGUUUUUUUAGAUGAAUGGCUCUAUAUCAAAUUAUGUCUACAAGUUUGAGCAAUAUAUUACCUCAGUAUAGAACUAUAUUACUUCUUGAAAAUGUUGGUCUGAUUAUGUUCGUUGUGGUCUGCCAUAUGAUUAUAAUUUUUACUCCUCCAGGUCUUGGUUGAAUGAUUCAAUUUAUAGAGGCCAUUACACAAGUUCUGGUUUCAGAUGAUUUUGCUGGAUCAGAUACAAAUAGAAGAAGUGGUUCAAGGAUAACCAUCUGUACGGAUGGUGGAAUUUAAAAUUAUGGGACUUCAUCAUAUUAAUCUCACACCUACUCCUCCACUGAGGAGCAGGUGCCUCACAGGAUACAAGAUGCUUUGUCAGCUCCUAUUGGAGCAUCUGCUGAUUUU